rnacentral:rRNA from 1 species
GAUGAACGCUAGCGGCAGGCCUAACACAUGCAAGUCGAGGGGUAGAGUUCUUCGGGACUUGAGACCGGCGCACGGGUGCGUAACGCGUAUGCAAUCUACCUUAUACAGGGGAAUAGCCCCAGAGAAAUUUGGAUUAAUGCCCCAUAGUGUUAUCGAAUCGCAUGGUUUGAUAACUAAAGUUCCAACGGUAUAAGAUGAGCAUGCGUCCCAUUAGUUAGUUGGUAAGGUAACGGCUUACCAAGACAAUGAUGGGUAGGGGUCCUGAGAGGGAGAUCCCCCCACACUGGUACUGAGACACGGACCAGACUCCUACGGGAGGCAGCAGUGAGGAAUAUUGGACAAUGGGGCGCAAGCCUGAUCCAGCCAUGCCGCGUGCAGGAUGACGGUCCUAUGGAUUGUAAACUGCUUUUGUACAGGAAGAAACCCUUUCACGUGUGGAAGAUUGACGGUACUGUAAGAAUAAGGAUCGGCU